rnacentral:lncRNA from 1 species
GCAUAAUAGCAGUAGUGUUGAUCGUAGUGGGCUUGUAUGGUGUUCUGUGGGGAAAAGGCAAGGAGAUGAAGCAGAACGCCCAAGUAGAUGGAGCAAAAAGCUCUACGGAGCCAGAAUUGAGAGGCAUUGUCAUAGAAACCUCAUCUAGUACUAAGGGUAAACCGACCGCAACAAGUACUAUUUGUCCCAUCCAAGCUGCUGACCGAGGAUCUGGUGCGGUUUCUCCUUCUGCAGUGGUGCAUGAAUAGCAACAAUAUAUCAUACUGAUAUCUUUUAUUUGGAAGAAAUUUUCAAGAAAUUUUUGUAUGUAUAUACAAAAUUCAUUUCUACCAACCAAAUAUCUUAAAAACAGUGUACCCGCCCCGUAUUUCCUUUGCCUAAAUUGUAAUAUUUUCCGGUAAUAAAUGAUUAAUGUUUCAUUCAAUCUAUUCAUGUCACAGUGUGCUAAGUUAUUCUGGUGGUGUAACAAGUCCUACAGCUGCUGCUAUGCAUGAGAGUAGCUCUAUCUUCUUACCCUAUCUUAUAUGUGUAUCGUUUUCUAUGAAAUUGGAAUUCCAAAUUAUAGAAAAUUGAUACCUACAUUGGCAUUAGAAUUACAAAUUAAUAUAAUCAUCAUAUAAACUAACGAUGCAUGUUUUGGUCAUACAUCUGCGGUCUCCAUCUUACAUAUAUACAUAUUUUCAAACAAAUAUUGAUUGAUUAAGAGUCAAUGUGGGAAUGAUUGUUGGAAGUUAGAAGUGUUUGGCAAUAGUAAAAAUGAUUUUUCUUAAAAAGUUAGGAGGCAUGACAAAGUAUUAUAAAUGAAUUUUAAAAGUCUAGCUAAUCACUUCUAUAAGUUUUGAAAUAACAUUGGAUGCUGGUGUCUAACAAUGACUUUUUACGGGUUAGUUUUACUAUGAAAAAUAGUAAAGAAAGUCAAAUAUAAUUAAAAUUAUUAAAAAUUUAUAUAUUUUUAAAUUAUUUAAUAUUUAUACAGAACAAUUGAAUAAGUAAAAAAAGUUUGAAAUGGUGUAAAAAAAUAAUUUAUUAACUUAAAUUUUUUUUUUUCUCUUUACUUCUAUUUUUUCUCUUUGUUCCCUUUCUCUCACAUUUUUCUUCAAACUUUUGGAUAAUAAAACAUAACCUCGAGGUUUGACAAAUAUUUUAAAAUUAUAUUUGUAAGUCAAGAAAAUCACUUCAAGUGAUUCUUGAAUUAGCACUUUGAUAUGUGCUACUUCAUCUAAAAAUCAUUUUUUAUUAUAUAAUACAUUAUCCAAAAAUACUUAAUUAUAUAGGAAUACUAUCUUCUAUACACAUCCAACACCAAUUGAUUCUUCAUAAAAAGAUUUAAUAGAAGUGUUAUCAACAAAAGCAUUAUAAGUUUCUUCAUAAAAAUAUAGUAUUAAAAUAUUUACUAUGGAAGUGAUGCCGAUAAAAACAUUACAAAUUAAAAACAUUUUUAUCAAAAUCAUUCUGAAAUCAGCCUUACUCAUGCUUCCAAAUGAAACAUCUCAUGAGUUUUGUCCAUUUGCAUGUUGGCAUAUCCUCUCUACAAACAACUUCACCAUCAAUUAAUUUUCAGUUAAUGAUAAGAAAAAAUUAUUUUUUAAAAAAGAUUUUUAGAUUACAUCAUUUUAUGAACAUACUUGUACAAUUGAAGUACAAUUUAUCACAUUUCUUACAAUCUAAUAAAAAUUUUAAAUAAUAAUAAUAAUAACAAUAAUAAUACUCAAAGAAAAUAAAACUAUUUUUCAUAUUCUAAAAUACACAAACUCUUCAUUUUAAUUUCCUCUACUAGGUGCAAGAUUACCCUAAUUUACAUAUUAGAUAGAAUGAUAGGACACAUGAUGAAAAUGGUAAAAGUAAUGCACAAAAGAAGGAUAAGAAUCCACUUCAACCAAUAUUUCUAUAAAUAAAGAGUAAUUAAAUAUUAAUAAUAUUUCAUUAUCUUAACUUAGGAAAUAAUAUUUAUUUUCCUUAAUUUUAAGACAUUUAUUAUUUGUUUAUUUUUUAUAAUUUACAAUACACUAUUGUAUAAAUUUUUUAAAAGAAAUAAUAAAAUUCAAGUCUUUCAUUGCAAAAAUUAUCAAAUUUUUUAUGGUAUUAGAGGAAGAGACUUAAACUUGAUUCUUCUCCAAAAGUGAUUGAAUAUCAUAAAAGUAUUGGUCAAAAUACUUGAAUAGGUACAAAUUUUCAGUUUGGAGGGAAAAAGUUUUACCUAUACUACGUAUUACAAUUCUCGACAAAAACUAAAAAAUAACCUUUCUAAGUAUUACAAUUCUUAACAAAAACUAAAACAUAGAAAUAAUAAUAAUAAUAAUAAUAAUUUAAUAUUUAUAUGAUGUCUUUGAUAUUUUUAUCAAUCCUUUGGUAUGCCUUCACCAAGUUUCAAGGUAAGAUGGACAUUCAUAUACAUUCUCACUCUAGAGAAUAUAUUUAAAAAAAAAAUAUUUGAAAGAGCAUAUUAAGGAAAAGAAUAAACAAAGACCAAAAAUGACAUAUACACCGAAUGAAUAGUAAAUCAAAAGCAAUCAAAUAUUAAUAAUAUUUGAUUCUCUUAAUUUAAAAAAUAAUAUUUAUUUAUUUAUUUUAAGAUAUUUAUAAUUUCUUUUUUUCUAUAAUUUGCAAUACAUUAUUUUGAAAACAAAUUAUAAAAUUCAUCAAACCCUUCAAUUAGAAAACGGAAAAUGAAGAAAGAAAAUUCAAGUUUUUAGUCAGUGAUGUCUACCCUCCCGCCCAUGGCUCCUCUAAGCAAAGCCAGAAGCGAAGAAAUUACCCCUUUGAGUGGGAGAAUAGGAAAAAUUAGCGGAAAAUAAGUGUGCUAUAAAAGGUGUGCAAUCUACUAAUAUGUGUGCCUUCUUCUAUUAGGUGCACCAACUUAUGUGGCACAUUUCUCUUAUUUUUCUUUAAAAAGUUGUGUACACUUUUUUUAACACUAAGUGCACCAACUUAAGUUGCAUACCUCUUCUUUGUAGGGUUUUACCCUUGAAUGCGCCACUUAAGUUGUACACCUCUUCUCUAUAGGGUGUGUAAGGUUAUUAUUCUCAACACUCCAGUGCCCCAACAUUUUUUCUGCAAGGUGGCACUACUUAAGUUGCACACAUCUUCCCUAUAAGGUGGGGUAUCUCUGUGUGUGCCACAUCCCAAUUCUCAACAUCCCAACACCCCAAUAUUUUUACUCUAGUACAAUUAUACUCUCAAUGUUAUAUUUAUAGUUUUAUUUUAAGUAAAUGUCCUCAUUUAUUAUGUCAUUUAUGUAUUAUUUUUUCAUUUAUAUCUCCAUCUAUUUUAAUUUUAUAAUGUAAAUAAUGGAAUACCUCAUAUUUAAAUACAACAAAAAAUAAUUUUCAAAAGCUAAUUCUAAGUAAAUCAAAAUCUUAUUUUUCAAAUUUAGUUAUAAAUUGAUAGUUUUUGCUAAAUUUUCUUCGAAAAAAAGUUUCCCUAACUAAAAUUAGAAAAGAUAAAAAUCCUAAAAAAAUUAUUUCGAAUAUUACCAACAUGAAAAAUAACAAAAUUCGUCACUUUUUACCUUAAAUUUUGAAACAUUUAAAAAUAAACCUAUUUCUCAUACUUGGUAAAAUUUUUACACAACUAAGACAACAAAUAAGGUGAAUAUGAAAGUUUUCAAUCCAUUAUACCAUUUUAUCUAUUCUCUUAAACAAAAUAAAAUUUAAAAUUGGAAAUUUGUAAAAUAAAGUUUUAUGCUAUUGUUAUUAUUUGAAAAUAUAUAUUUAAUAAUAAUCAUAAAAAAUCUAGUAGUUACGUGUACAUUAGAACUAAAAUUCCUAGAAAUGAGAGUAAAUGCUUAGCAUAUGACAUAUUAUAAUUAAACCAUAGUUUUAGAAUUUGAGAUGUAACAAAUUCAAUAUUAAUUGAUUUUUUUUUUCAUCUAGCAUUAGGUUAUUAGAUAGCUUCUAGCUAUAAGAGUAGAUAGGAAUAUAUAUAUACUCGUAGACCACCUAAGAAGGAAUAUUUAUUUUUUGAUUCUUAUCCUAACAUAAGAAGUCCAAUGGGAACAAUACUUGAAAUAGUGAUCCAUAAAAAAAAAACCAAUAUUGAGAUUGGAUAGAACAAGGUUAGAGCCAAAAGGAAUUAUCAAAUAACUUAGUAGAAUUUAUAUGACUACUAUGGAUGAUCCAAUACUUAAUAAACAAGUAUAUCCUCUAGAUGGAAGAAGAUUCUCUUUGAAAGGUAGUUUUGUGCCAUCUACUAGAGCUUGAAGAAUUCCCAAAGGAUCGGCAUGCUCUACGAAUGAAUGAAUUUGAUAAAAUUGGAAAAUGGAAAGAAUUGUACAAGUUAGACGUUUCAUCACCACUUUGUGGAAAAUCGUUAAGUAUGAAUAUGUUAGAUACUUGUGACUCGAUUGGUGAAAUAGUUUUUGUCACACACAAAAAAAUAUUUUCUUGCGAAUGAACAAAAUAUUAAGAAAUUGUCCAUAUGUAAAAUCACAAUUAUUGAUAUGGGCCUUUGCCAUUCCUAAAAAUGAGAGUAAAUGUUUAACAUAUAACAUAUUAUAAUAUAAAUAUUUUAUCAUUAUCCAUUAAUUUACAUUUCAAAUUCUAUAAUCUUAGACUGACCAUUUAAUAUUAUAAUUAAACUAUAGUUUUAGAAUUUAGAAUGUGACAAAUUCAAUAUUAAUUGAUUUAUUUUUUAUUUAUGUAGCUUUGGUUAUUGGAUAGCUUCUAGCUAUAACAGUAGUAAGGAAUAUAUAUAUCCAAUUUUCUGCUAUAAAAUUGUGGAAAAUGGUUAAACUUCAAUUCUGUUAUACAUAACUUUUUAUUUAUACAAUAAAAUUAUAAUUUAUCUAUGUAUAUUAUGUAUAUCUUUUGGCUAUAGACUUGUUGAUUGUCAAUUUUGUUCUAUAUAUAUUUCGUUAUAUAACAUAAUUAGAAUUUUUAUUGUAUAGUUUGUAACUAUAGAAUUGUUGUUUGAUAAUAAAUUUGUUCUCUAUAACUUCUAAUUAUUAUAAAAAAAAUUAUAAAUUUUCGUUAUAGCUUUUGGUUACAAUAUUUUAAAUUGAUAAUUUUGUUUUAUAUGACUUCUGAUUACACAAUAUAAUAAAAAAUUGUCUACAUAGUUUCUAACUAUAAGAUAAUUGGUAACAAAAAAUUGUGUUCAUAACUUCUAGUUAUGAGUAAAGUAAAUAAACGUUUUAGUAAUAAAAUAAGAAUACUAUAAGAUACUGUUUUUCAUAUAUCUUUUUCAAAUUAAAUUGUUUGAAGAAAGAAAGAGUGCAUACUUUUCUAGAUAUGAAUGAGUGUUACAAGUAGGCAAAACCUUUUAUGGAUGAAAUCCUCUGUUUUUUUCAACUAGAGUGUCGUGCUAGUAAUGUAUUGUACAAGUAAAAAUGAAAAAGAAAAUUAGAGCGAAUUAUUUAGAGAAAAAAUUCAAAGAAAUUGAACCUUGAAAUUAUCUAACCUUAGGCUUAUUUCAAAGGUUAUAAUUAUAAUGACUAAAAUAUUGCUUUUCUAAUAACUGGGAACAUUAGUUACAGGCAUAUUUGAAAGGUUUAUUAUGCGAAAUUGUGACAUUGAUAAAUAUCUUCACCUAUUUAUAACAAAAAUAUACUUUUUCCAAACAAUUUCCAAAUAUUCAAACUGUCGAGAAUGUUUGAAAUUUCUGUGGGAAUUUGAACCAUGCCCUUUUGGACAUUUGAACCAUUCUUGGCCAUUCAAAUGCUGAACCUGGGAGCAUUUGAAUUUACUUCCUACUUCCCUUUCCCGCUUCAACGUUUUUUUCCAUUUUUCCAAAUCUUUUCAAUUUUAAAAACCAUAUUUAUGUUUACUAACAAUUGGCCUAAUACAAAAAUAAAACAGUGGCCUAAUACAUUAUCAAAAAACACUUCCAGAAAUAUCUAUCUUUUGGUACAUAUAAAUACGUACAAUUGAUUCUUCAUGAAAAUAUUUAUGAUGGAAGUGUUAUCAAUAAAAGGGUCAUAUGCUUCUUCACAAAGAUGUAGUGUAAAAAUAUUUACUAUAAAAUUGGCAUGGAUAAAAACAUUACAAAUUCGAAACAUUUUUACUGAAAUCAUUUCAAAAUGGGCAUAAACCUACUUAUGCUCCCCUAAAUAAUUAAAUCCAUGAAAAAAAUGAAACAUCUCUUGAGUUUGGUCCAUUUGCUUGUUGGGAUAUUCUCUUAGCAAACAACUUCGUCACAAAUUAAUUUUCAAUUCAUGAUAAGAAAGAAUUAAGUUAUUUUUUUCUGAAGAUUUUUAGAUGACAUGAUUUAAUGAAUAUACUUAUAUAAUUGAAUAUUAUUAUUAUUAUUAUUAUAAAAACUAUUUUUCAUAUUUUAAAAUAUACACCCUCUUCAUUUUCAUUUCCACCCCCGGGUGCCUGAUUUCCCAAACUCACAUGCUAGAAAGAAGAAAAUCAAGGUUUUUAGUCAGUGAUGCCCGCCCUCCCUCCCUUGUCUCCUCUAAGCAAAGCCGUAAGUGAAGAAACUACCCCAUGAGUUUCGUCAAUUUGCACGUGGGCAUAUGAGGCAAGAAAACAUCCAAAGGCCACGAUUACCUGAUAUAUACCUUUUGAACGUCUUCCUUACCAUUAUAUUAAACUAUUUUCAUCUUCAAUAUCAAAUUGUACUAGUCUUUCUUUAUGCAUGUAUGGGGCUAGUAAAUGUGUCUCAGGUGGAUUUUAAAAAUGAAGGCAACCCAAGCCCAGCCAAUUGGGGUUGGGUUUCGAGUAAAACUCGUACACAUACGUCGUACGUGUCCUUUUCAGAUUUUCCUCACUGGUCACCCACCCACCGAGGAGCACAAUACGUCUGCACAUACGUGUGCAAAAAAACUCAUCAUCUAACCGUGGAUUCCUGUCGCUGUUGACUCCACCCCUAUCUCUAUGCCUAUAAAAUACUCACUUGGUUUGAACCGAUGUCCACAGAGCAGAUCGUCAUUUGGUGUGAGCUUGAGAAAAUUAACACAGAGGCAGCUUUUGAGUUAAUUUGCAGAUUACAUGGCCACUGGAAAGUUGAGGAACCUUUUGGAAGGGCUGAAGCCAGCCAUGACAAUGGUGAUAGUUCAGAUAAUAUUUGGAGGGCUAAAUAUUAUGUACAAACUGGCUAGAAAUGAUGGCAUGAGCAUGAAGAUUUUGGUCGCCUACCGAAAUAUCUUUGCAACAGCUAUUAUGGUUCCACUUGCUCUAAUCUUUGAAGGGUGAUUCUUAUUAAUCUUGUCUAUUUUUUUUUUCCGCAUCUUUAAUUUUGUUUUAUCUUUCAUUCACUCUUUUCAAAUUUAUGGUGAACAUUUAAUUAAAGUGUAUUAUAAUUUUAACAGGAAGAGUAGGCCAAAACUGACAUGGAUGAUCUUCCUCCAGGGCUCAUUAUGUGGAUUAUUUGGGUAAGUCUAAUGAUUAAUUAGAAAAUAUUUUUUUAUUUAUAUAUAUACACAUUAAGAAAUAUCUUUAAUUCCUUCAAUGCUCUAUCUUGUUUGUAAAUGACUUUGCAGGGGUGCGGUUCUUAUAGAGUAAUUUUACUCCAUGUCUUCAUAUUUAUGAUAUGAAAUGUUUUCAAUAAUAUUUUAUCCUACACUUCUUAUACAUAAAAAUUUAUUAAAUAUUCUUAUAUUUUCUGACAUAAACUUUGAUUGCAGAGGGUCAUUAGGUCAAAAUUUAUAUGCCGAGAGCCUAAGCUUAACGUCAGCAACAUUUGUAGCGGCAAUGACAAACCUGGUUCCAGCUAUGACAUUUGUCAUGGCAGUUUUCUUAAGGUAUUUUUUUAUUUAUUUAUUUCCUACUGAUAUUUUAGUACUAAAAUUUAUAGUAUUACACAUUUAAGUUUCUUAAGGAACAAAUGCUAAACCCUAGUCCUAUUUUCUUCUAGGAUGGAGAGAUUAGCAAUUGGAACAAUUGCGGGAAAAGCUAAGUUAAUGGGAACUAUAAUGAGCCUAGGUGGUGUAAUGAUUCUAACAUUUUACAAAGGAGUAGAGAUCAAGUUAUGGUCAACCAACAUCAACCUACUACAUCAUGGUGCUGCAGCAUUACAAGAGUCGUCUCCUAAUCAAGUGUUGGGCUCACUAUUGGCUGUGGCUAGUUGUGUCUGUAUUGCAGUUUGGUUGAUAGUCCAGGUGAUCAAGGUUCAGGUUUUCUUUUUUCUUCAAAUGAUAAAUCAAAUACCUUUACUGAUAGGGAAAUUGCUCUCGUAUUUUGGUUUUUCUUCUUUUAUUUGGACAGACUAAGAUGAGCAUGGUGUAUCCAAGCUACUCCGGAACUGCUCUAAUGUGUGUUUGUGCAUCAAUUCAAUCGGUUGUAUAUGCCAUGUGCACUGAGAGGGACUGGUCCGCAUGGAAACUUGGUUGGGACAUUAGGCUUCUCACUGUUGUUUACUCAGUAAGAUAUUUCUUGAAAAUUUUAUAUAAUUCAAUGAAAUGUGAGAAGAAUAAAGAUUUUCUAACAAAGUAUUGAUUGACAUUCAAUUUCUCUUCCAUUCAAACGAUAUUGAGAAAUCGUUUAUGAAUAUGUUAACUUAGUGGAUGAUUUUGAGUUAUAACAAGUAGAAUUUGUUGUAUUGCAGGGAGUGUUGGCCUCUGGAUUAAUGGUUACACUAAUGACCUGGGUUUCAAGGAUGAGAGGCCCAUUGUUUGUAUCUUCUUUCUUUCCCUUAAUGCUUGUAACCGUUGCAAUACUUGGGUCACUCUUACUCCACGAACAGCUACAUAUAGGAAGGUUUGAAUAUUCAAAUUAAAACCACCUUACCUUCAAAGAUUUCAUUUGUGCUCUGACAUUAAUUCUUGGUACCUAUUUUUAUAACAGCAUAAUUGCAGCAGUGUUGAUCAUAGUGGGCUUGUAUAUUGUUUUAUGGGGAAAAGGCAAGGAAAUGAAGCAGACCGCCCAAAUCCAUGCAGCACAAAGCUUUAGCGAACAAGAUCUGAGACAUAUUGUCAUAGAAAAUUCAAGUAACAGUGAGUGUAAACCAGAAGCAAGUGGUAUUAUUGGUCCCAUUGAACCUGCUGACCUAGGAUCUGGAGUGCCAUCUGCAGCUGCAGUGGUGAACAAAUAAUGUCAUAGUGAUAUCUUCCAUAUAAAAUUGGAAGAGAUAGCAGUAAACUAGAAAAGGAAAUUGAUUUGUGUUAUUAAUGUUGUUCAAUGUAUAUUAGAAAUUCAUUUCAGUUAACUAAAAUCUUUUACAAACAAUGUUCCUCUAUUUUUUUUCUCUAAAUUCUGACAUUUUCUGGCAGCAAAUGAGUACUAUUACUGCAAUGUUCUUCACCUACUUUGCUAAUUCACUCUAGUUGGUGAAUGAAUUUUGCUGAUGGAAGGACAACUUCUCCAUCUGCAAAUAUUGAAAUCCAUUUACAGUGUCCUCAAUGAAUAAAACGUAAAAAAGAUGUGUGAAAAUAAAGCUAAGAAUAUUGGAUCAUGAAACAACUCUAAUAGACCUUACAUGCAUGUAGUCUGGAUGGUGAGAAUGACGAAGGAACCUUGUAAGACUUAGGUGAUACUAAGAGUUCAUUUGGCACUAAUUUUAGAAAACAUUUUUAACUUUUUGAACACAAUGAUAAAAAUUUAUGAAUGUUGGAAUGAUUUCCUAAAAUCACCGGCUCUAAACCAUUCACAUUUGGUAUCUCUGUUUCUGACAAGGGAAGCGCAUAUAAUGCGGCAGAUCUUCGGGAUCACAGUAUGCGGAAAAUAUCUGAAGGUUUUGAUGUGGCAACCUUUGACGUUGAUUUUGGGCAAUAUCACAAGGUCUCUCUACCACCAGAUUCAUCCCGUAUAGAGGGUGUGAUCAAAUAUAGGAAAGGAAGAAGCACAGAAUUAACACCUACCAUCCACUAAGCCAAGCCAUGACUAAUGAAACUCCCCAAUCAUUAAUCUAGUUCUUCCAUGAGGCCAACCACUGUGUGACAAUUGUAUGUGAGAUCUUAAGGCCAAUUUGGACCUAAUGGACUAGGUUGCCGUAGUGGGAUUGACAACUACUCAAGCGCAUCGAAACUAAGGUUGCCCUUGGGGGGAAACUUUCCUUUUCAGACCUCAACACGUCUGAAUUAAUGUUUGUAAGCAUUCGCAACUUCAAUGGAUGCCUCUUUCGUACUGUACUCAACAUCUGCUUGGGCUACUCUUAGGAAUCUUUGAGUUGCACCGGAAGUUUUAAUACUAUACAUUAAUACAAUAAUCCAAAGAUGAAAUCAUUUACUCAUAACCAUAUGUUUGUACCAACGGAUGAAGCCUUGAUCACUUAUUGUGUAAGUAAAAGUUUUAAUCCUAACAUACUCGAAAAAGAAAACAAAGAUAAAAUAAUCCUCGUACAUAGAUAUACAAGGUUUUAAGGUGAUUCAAUAUCAUGCCCAAAUUUGUUGAUAAGAGAAAAUCAUUCCAAUAUUCCAUAAAGAAUAUUACAUAGGAUGGAAGAACACAUACAAUUAAGUCUUGAAAUAUCCUAUGUUUCUACAUUCCUUAUGUCUAUACCAUGAGUCAUGAGUUUUAUAGGUAGAAUCAUUAAUACUAAUAUAAUAGAAAAAGAACACGAAGAUGAAACAAUCACACAUAAAGAUACGUAAGGUUUUAAUGUGGAUCAAGAAACCAUGUCUAAAUCCAUGGAUGAGAGAAAAUAAUUAUACUAUACCAUAGAAAAUAUUAUAAAGGACAAAAAAAUAAAGAUUGAAACAUUUCAUGUCUCCCAUUCAUCUCUAUGUUAUUACUAUGCAUUUUUUGUCCCAUAAGCCCUCCUUCUUGUCUCUUCAUUGAACAAAUUUCCCUUCACAAGCUCCAUAGACAAUGCACCAUUCAGAACAAAGUUGCUAAUAGUUACAACAAAAGUUUCCCAACUGUCUAGUAGUAAACACAACAUAGAUGCUUGCAUCUUAUAAUCGAUAACCAUUUUCAUGGUAGCCAACUAAUUAACAAUACUCUAAAAAACAUUCAAGUGAUCUAUCAUUAGUGUUCUUUCCUUUAGCUUCAUAUUCGUCAACUUCUUUAAUAAGAAAAUUUUAUUCCCAACAGUUUUUUGUUCAAACACUAAUUCCAAUUUCUUCCAGAGAUUAUAGACAUUUGUUUCAUUUGCCACAUGAUGAUGUGAGGAUGUGUCAAUCCAUUGCCUAAUAUAGGCAAUUGCCUUUUUGUUCAUCUUAUUCCAUUCCAAAUCAGAAAUAUCUUUAGGUCUGGCUUCUUCACCCUUAAGAUUAUUUGAAAAAUCUUUAAUGGUGAAAAAAUCUUCCUUCAUGGACUUCCAUAUAGCCCAAUUUGAAUUAUUAAGUUUUAUCAUGGAGGUUGAGUUCCCUUCUAUCUCCAUUCCUUUCGCAACUAGACUUUGAUACCACUUGUUGGGAAGAUAAAGGGAGAGAUUUAGAGUAUUAACCUGUCAAGGUUAAAAGAUUCCUCUACAAUAAUAACCACCUCUCAAGAAUAAUAACCCAACAAAAAUCAAGAAUGACAAUCAAGAACAUUCAACCACAAAAGAGGACAUCAAAUAUAACGUGGAAAACCCCUUUGGAUAGAGGUAAAAAAACCAUAGAGAAAAUUUCUCCCACUUCAAUAAAUGGGGAUACAAUAAUUAAAUUCUGACUUGAGGCGGGAAUCCAUCACCCUAGGAAACAUGAACAGAAAAAAAAUCAGGGAGAAAAUAUACCACAAGAAUUCCCCAAAAGUUUGAUGAAAGGAACCUGUAACUUCACCCUUGAGCCUUAGAACAAUGACUAGAAAAACAACCUUGAUCUUCUUUCAUUUUCUCAAUCAAAUGCCCUUCUCUCUCAUAAUACCAAAACCCUAAUGCUAUUUAUAUAUCCAUAUUUGGGCUUAGGGAAUACCCAAAUAUAAAAUAGCCUAAUAUAUGGGCUCAUGGCUGGACAAACAUAAUCCAACAGAUUAUAGUGGGCUUGUAUAUCGUUUCAUGGGGAAAAGGCAAGGAGAUGAAAAAGACCGCCCAAGUCCAUGGAGCAAAAAGCUUUAGCGAACAAGAAUUGAGACAUAUUGUCAUAGAAAAUUCAUUUAACAGUGAGUGUAAACCAGCAGCAAGUGGUAUUAUUGUUCCCAUUGAAUUUGCUGACCUAGGAUCUGGUGUGGCAUCUGCAGCUGCAGUGGUGCCUGAAUAAUGUCGCAGUCAUAGCUUCUAUACAAAAUUGGCAGAGAAAAGGAAAUUGAUUGUGUUGUUGAUGUUGUUCAAUGUAUACUAGAAAUUCAUUUCUGUUCAUUAAAAUCUUUUACAAACAAUGUUCCUCUAUUUUUUUCUCUAAAUUCUGACAUUUACUGGUAGCAAAUGAGUAAUAUUAAUGCAACUAUCGCUAUUCAUUAACAGUGUCUUCAAUGAAUAAAACGUAAAAAGAUGUGUGAAAAUAAAUUAAGCUAAGAAUAGCGGGAUCAUCAAACAAUUCUAAUAGACAACAUGGUCUAGUCAACAAUAAUGAUGGGUACACACCUAACAGUUCCUUGGUAUAAUGGCGGAGAGUGUGUUUAAAGGGUGGAAUAUGCUUAUCUUCAAAAGCUAGUUGGUUAUUUUCGGCCACCGAUUUUCUUAAAAGCUUAAACUUUUCGGAUUUUGGCGUACAAUGUAUUUAUAUUAUGCUUCUCCACCAUUCCCCUCUUUCUAUGAUUUUAAGUUUUUAAGAAAAUUGAAACUCAACAUGGUAUCGGUGCUCUAAUUAAUUAGAUAUAUCAUAUUGAAGUUAUUAUCUCAAUCUAUUUAUUUGUCCAAUUAUUUGUGAUUAUAAAUAUACAAUUUUUAUGUAGCUUUUUUAAUGCUCAUAUCUAAUUAUCUAUAAUUAAACAUGUGAUUUGUAUGGUGAGUAAUUAUCUUUAAUCACAUCUGUACAAUGGAUAUAGAGUCGCACAUGAAAGAAGGUGAAUAUGCCUAAUUAUUUGUGAUCACAAAUGUGUGAUUUAGGUGGUGUUUAUUUUUUAAAACUUUUUUUUAAAAGCAAUUUACUUUUAGAUUUUAUAUUGUUUAUUCUUUUACUUUUUGUUGACUUAAUACUUAUUUCAGAUUUUUUUUAUUGAAUAGAAAAAAAUAAAAUAUUUAACUUUUUCUAAAUGUUAAGAAAAAUAUGUUGAUUUUUUUCACCGUUUCAUAUUUAAUAGAAAUAAAAUAUUAAAAUAAAUAAAUAACUUAAUUAUUAACAUUAUUAAAUAUUAUUUAGUUUUAAAUUCUAUUUAAGAAUUGAGUGAAAAAAGCAAAGCAACACCUUACUACCUUAGCCGCCAGUGCACAGCUAUUACUAUCUAGGCCACAUGUAAUAGUUGUUGAGAGUUCCAACAAGAAGAAUAUCUUGUAGUGAUUUACCUCUCUUAAAAGGGAAUAUCUUUGUAGUAGAGAAAAGUACUCAAGAAAAUUCAAACAGAUUUAUGACAACCUUGUAGCCAUCGACAAGCCAACAUUCGAGCUUGAUAAAGUAAGUCAAUUUGCUACAGCACUGGAGGCAAAGUUUCAAGAAUUCCAAUGGACGUUUCAACCCGAUGGACAGUCUUAAUAUUGCAAGCAAGUUCAAGAUGCUUGAUACUCCUAAAAAUUCAAUUCGAAUGACCUGUAGUAAUGGUCUGAAACCCAUCUAGAAAACAAUCUUCAUCCACAUUCUCAAUGACACUUUUCUGACUGAGCAAAGCAAUAAGUGAUGGAACUUCCUCGUGUGUUCUGUCCAUUAGCAUAUGGGUAUAUUAUGCCAGUAAAUUUCGAAAGGGAACUAGAAAAAUUAAGACCACAUUCACACUGCCGACUUUUUGAAAGUGUUCCUUAGUUUUUUAUUCUUCAAAUAAUUGAUGUUUUAAAAAACUAUAUUCAUGCUCAAUAUCAAAUUGGCCUGCUCUUUCUUUGCGCAUGUUAGAAAGCACAAAACUAACACCUACCAUCCACUAAGCCAAGCCAUGGCCAAUGAAACUCCCCAGUCAUUAAUCCAGUUCCUCCACUAGUAUGCAUGAGGCCAACCAACCUGUAACAAAUGUGUUUGACAAAUUAAUGCCAAUUUUGACCUAAUGGACUAAGUUCCCGUAAUGGGAUUGACAACUACUCCAGACCAUCGAAACUAAGGUGGCCCUUGGGAGGAAACUUUCCUUUUCAGACCUCAUGCAAGAACGUUUGUAGGCAUGCUCAACUUCAAUGGAUUCCUCUUUCGUACUAUACUCAACGUCUGCUUAGGCUACUCUUAGAAAUCUUUGAGUUGCACCGAAGUUUUUAUACCAUAUAUUAAUACAAUAAUUUAAAGAUGAAAUCAUUUAAUCAUAACCGAUGAAGCCUUGAUAACUUAUUGUGUAGGCAAAAGUUUUAAUACUAACACAUUAGAAAAGGAAAACGCAAAUAAAAUAAUCUAUAUACAAAGAUAUAUGAGGUUUUAGCAUGAUUCAAUGUCAUACCUAAAUUUGUUAGAGAAUAUUUUAUAAGACAAAAAAACACAUAAUUAUUAAGCCUUCAAACAUCCAAUGUUUUUACACUAUUGUGUCUCUAUCAUGAAUCACGAGCUAUAAUAGAAUUUGUUGUGUAGGCAAAAUCUUUUAAUACUAACAUUGUAUAAAAAGAACACAAAGAUAAAACAAUCUACACAAAGAUAAUUGAGAUUUUAAUGUGAUUUAAGCAACCAUGCUUACACCCAUAAGUGAUAGAAAAUCAUUCUAUUAUAUCAUAGAAAAUAUUAUAGAAGACAAAAGAAUAAAACCUUGAAACAUACCAUGUCUCCCAUUCAUCUUUACCUCAUUACUGUUUUCUCAUCAUGAAUUAUAAUAUUUAUAGAGAUAUUUCUAAUGUACUAAUUCUACAUAAAAAAAAUCAAAUAAUACAAUGAUAUAUCAAUAUAGGAAAUAUUCUAUAUAAUAUUUGCAACAAAAAGGGAUAUAUACCAUAUAGAACCACAAAUGAAAGAACAUCAAUUCUCUACAUUAUAAAGAAAUUAUAGAGAAAUGAUAAAAUAGACACAAGUUAUAGAUCUUGAAACAAUUUCAUGUUUUCUUACCCCCAAUAUCUACACCUUGAAUGAGAAGCCCUCACUCUAUUAGGUGUUUUCACUCUUCUUUACAUCUUGACCCACUCGGUAUAUGCUUUAUAGGUCUUAUCCUGAUCUUGUAAUUAACUUUUUGUCUCCAUGACUUAAAGUACUUAUAGAUAUAUUCCUAACCUCUUUCUUAUUAUACAAAGAUAUCUAGUAUAACAAAGAAAUAUUAAGUCAAUCUUCUAUCUCUUCAUGAAAAACACCUCAAUUGUACACAAGUUAGAAUUUUAAAGCAACUAGACUAAGAUUUAUAUGGUGUUGGAAAUAGAGAUAAGCUUAAAACAUAAAAGUAUAGCAGGACAUAUAUUUCAUACUUCAAGUGCUUAACAACCAAGUAAGAAGGUAAAUGGAUAAUCCUUACUUCCUCAAUCUGUGAAUUCUUUUAUAUCAUUGCAUUUAAUCCUAUAAUAUACCUUUGUGAUAUUCGCCACAUCAUGAAAGACAAGUUUUAUGUAUUGAUGAUUGUCCAUAAUUGUUUGUUGUUCAAAAUAAUAAGUUUAAAUUCAAAGCAACUCUAGCCGACAAAAACUAAAAAAAGUAUCACUACCACUUGUAUGGUACUCUAGGUAUUAUCCUUAAGGACUAAAUUAUGGAUGAUAAUGAUGUUAGGUCAAGGAGAUUUACUAUUACCUAAAUUGUAAAGUAAAAAAAUUGAGAAUUGAUUUACUUAAAUUAAGGGUAGUUGAAAUAAUCCUAAUUACUAAUAAAAUUGAAUGUUAAUUUCUAACUCAAUUGAUCAAAUUUGGAGGCUCCGUAAUCCAAUUUUAGGAGUAGAGCUUUGAAGAGAACAAAAGUUUGUUAUCUUCAAUGAUCUUAAGGUUAUUAGGAUACUUGGUCACUCAAGAUCAACUUAACUUCUAUAACUUAUAGUUAUAACUUAAACCUAAUUCUUUGACUUAGGAUGAAUAAAAGUCCCAUGUCUCACAUCAGUUUAUUACCAACAUUGGUUGGGCCUUAUAUGUAGCCUCUACUCCCCACAAGCUUAAGCUUUUAAGAGUGUAUGUUGUAUCGCAUCAUUUGGUAUCAUGGUGAGGUUUGGCCUGGCUCACCUUGUGCUCGUUAACAUUGGCGUUAACAUUGAGUAGGGGGGGUGUUUGAAGUACAUAGGAGGGACAAACAAUGACCCAAAUCAGCUGAUUACCAACAUUGGUUGGGCCUUAUACAUGGGGUUACCUUUUCUUCCCAUUAUCAUAGGUUUUUGGGAGUGUAAAUGCCUUGCAUCAUUUUCCUUUUCAAUUCAUAUUUCUAAUUCCCAUAUGAUGAAUGAUAUCUAAUUCAGGUUCAAGUCACAACUUUUUAUCACUUACUACUUAUAGAUUUGUAUUAAGAUGGAUAGCUAUAAAGAUAAUCAUGAUAACAAAGGAUCAAGGGUAGCUAAGAGUCUCUAGUAUCUUGUAGUACUUUAGGCAUCAUCUUUAAAAACUAAAAUAUGGAUAACAAUGAUGUUAGGUCAAGGAGAUUUACUAUUGCCUAAAUUGUAAAGUAAAAAUAUUGAGAAUUAAUUUAAGUAAAUUAAAAGUAGUUAAAAUAAACCUAAUUACUAAUAAAAUUAAAUAUUGAUUUCUAACUCAGUUGAUUCAAAGUUGGGGGCUCCAUAAUCCAAUUUUACAAGUAGAUAUUUACAGUGAACAAAAGUUUCUUAUUUUCAAUGAUCUUAAGGUUAUUAAAAUACUUGGUGGCUAGAGAUGAAAUUGAGUUCUACAACUCAUAAUUACAUCUUUUUCUUUCUUUUUCUAACAAGAUUAGUUGUAUUAAGUAUUAUUCUCCUGUUUUAUGCAUGUUUCCAAAAGCAACUUAGGGCUUAGAUUGCAUGUAGAUGGCCCUCCAAGUAGCCUAGCUAUUCAUCCUGAUCAUUAAGAUGUCUUGAGGACAUUUUCGAAAAUGAGGCCAGCUUGAAAUUAGAAAAGGGCAGUUCAAGCUCCAUAUGACAAUAUAAAUUACUACUCUAGCAACAUUUUGGAACAAUUCCUUUCUCUGUUCUCUCUUAAGACUUUAUUGCAUGUGUGAUGAUCUUAAUUAGGAAAAUCCAGUUCUCAUUUCAUUGCAUUAAUAAAUGUUCCGAUCCAAUUGAUAAUGUUGAGUCUUAUAUAAUUAAAAUAAAAUUGUUUUAAAUGGAAUCAUGGGCUGUAGCGUGAGUCGUAAUUAUGAAAAUACCAUCUCUGUCUGAUGGCAUUGGGAUAAGGUCACAUGCAUCAAGCUUUAAAAUGUGAAAAUAAACAAGGUAACAUUUUGUAUAUAUAGAAAAUGAUACUCUCCUCAAAUAAGGUAACAUUUGAUUAAUCAAACAAGAAAAUGGUAUAGGAUAUCAUUAAUAUUUGUUUCACUCGAAAAGGACAACCAGAUAUCGUCCACUCUUUUAUUUUAGGGAGAAUUAUCUUUUGGGGCUAGAUGGACCCCCAAAUUAACAAAAGGUCCAUAUAACUCUUCAAAUUGAGUUGAAAGAUAUGAAAUAGUAAUGGACAAAUAUACCCUUUAAGAACAUAUAUAAAAUAUUUUAUAAAAUUAAGUUAAAUAAUUUUUUUUCAAUAAUUUUUUUUUCAAAAAUACUAAAUUAAAUAAAAUUAGUUUUCAAAAAUAUUAAAUUAAAUUUUUUUUUCAAAAAUAUUACAUUAAAUUAAAGUAUUUAAAAAAAUAUUAAAUUAAAUAUUUUUUUAAAUAUUAAAUUAAAUAAAUUUAUUUUUAAAAAAUAUUAAAUUAAAUAAAUUUAUUUUAAAAAAUAUUAAAUUACAUAAAAGUAUUUUUAAAAAAUAUUAAAUUAAAUAAAAGUAUUUUUCAAAAAUAUUAAUUUUUUUCUCAAAAUCAACAAAGGACAUUUUUGGAAAUACUGAAGGAUGAUAUCCUUCAACUCAAUUUCCAUACUUUCAUUGGGUCUUGGGCUCAAUUUGAAGAGUUAUAUGGACCUUUUGUUAAUUUGGGGACCCAUCUACCCCCAAAACAUAAUUCUCCCUUUAUUUUAUAUCCAUUAUUCCCCAAAUCUGAAAAUCUUUGCAGAAUCUCAAAGUCAAAUGUUUGACCACUCAAAUAAGUUAUAUAUAUAUAUAUAUAUCUUUAAUAAAAAAUUUUCCUAAAUUCUACUUUAUUUUAGCACUCCCAAGAUUACAUGCAAUUCAUUCUAGUCUUCAAUGGUAGCUCAGUUUGUAAGUCAUUAGCUUCCAAGGGACUUCCAAGCUAAAACUAGUGUUUUUCCUCGGUUUAUAAACCUGUACAACCGGGGUAUUAUGAAAACAAUAAUAUUUUAAAUAUCACUGUUACGAUAUCAAAUGUAUAUAUAAAUUAUUUUAAAAUUUUUUGAAAAAACAACAAAAGUCAUGGUUCAAAAUCAUGUUCAUUUACAUUAGAGGAAAAUGCGAAGAUAUUGAAGUGAUAUCUAUCGAAAUCUAAAUCGGGAACUUUGAAUAUCAAUGAGCACAUAAAUAAAUAAGAUUAAGUUAUACAGGCGUAAAUAGAUUUGAUGUAUAAAUAAUAAGUAUACUUGGUUGUCCUAAAGCACAGAGAUAAAAUUGUAUGCCAUAUUAGACAUGGCCGCCUCCCACCAUCGUUGAAAUUAGUGAACUCACCAUGACCAAAGCAACAUGCCCAUGACUUUUCUCCACUUGCGUGUAUGAGGUUCCCGUAAUCGAAUUGGUAAUCCAAGACCAUACAUGGUGGUUGUAGACAUGAUUUGGGCUUGGACUUAGAGGAAACUUUUCGCCAGCCAAGCUGCCUUUUUAAGAGUUUGUCCUUUUAAGAGUUUUGCCUACGAUAGACCGCAAUACGCCUGCAAGGACGUCAGCAAAAGGACCCCCACACAUCACUUUGGAAAGCAUGAUCUAAGUGUGGAUUCUGGAUUGCUCUAUCUGACAUGAUUCCAACAGCCGGCAGCUCCACUAUUAUGAGGGCGCCUCUCUCAGAAAUCCCUUUUUGUCUAUAAAUACUCAUAUGGUUUGAACCAGAGAGUAUCCAAACAGCCUCCCCAACAGCUUCAUUUGCUUCAUAUAUAGUCAUUGGCUUGAGCUAUAAACAGCUUUUCAGUUGGUAUAUUACAUGGCUAGUGGGAAGUUUUGGAAUGUCAUGACAGGGCUGAAGCCAGUCCUGGCAAUGGUGGUGGUUCAAGUGUCACUGGGAGGAAUUAAUAUUAUGUACAAGUUGGGUAAGAGUGACGGCAUGAGCAUGAAGGUUUUAAUCGCCUACAGAUAUAUAUUCGCUGCAGCUUUUACGGUUCCACUUGCUUUGAUAUUUGAUCGGUAACUUUCAUUAUUUCUUAGUUUUGUUUUGUAGCUUGUGUUUAUUUAAUUUCAGUGUUUCUUCUCUCUCCCUUCUCUUUCUUGCUUUCUCUCUUCCCUUUUUGUAUGGGGUGAGCUUGUCCCUUGUGUGGCCUGUAUCACAACUGGGCUAAAGAAAAAUUAUUAUAUCUGUUAUCCUAAAUUUCAUUUUUAAAAAUGGGAGUAUAUGGUGAUGCUUUCUUUACUGACAUUUCUUACAAAUAAGAAAUAAAUUAUCAUGGUUUUAUCUCCGUUUCUCUUUCUCAAUUGCACAGAGAGCAUUUACUAAUAUUUGCCUCAUGUAUGGUAAACAGGAAGAGUAGGCAAAAAAUGACAUGGAUGAUCUUCUUGCAAGGUUCCUUAUGUGGUUUAUUUGGGUAAGUUUCAAAAAAUAUUUUAUUCUUGUAUUUUAUAUCAAAGGUGUUCAAUUUUGGCCAAAAAUGGUUUAGAUAGGUGAGUUUUCCUGUAAUGAAUCUAUACUUUCUCAAUGAACUCUUUCAUACACAUGAUGAAUAGUAUGCUCAAUUUUGCCAAAGCUUAGAUAGGGUGAUGCCAUGGUAGUUGUCAUAUAAACAGUUGAAAGGAUCUAUGACUAAAAGAUGUCAUUUUCUGCAAGACAUACACUGUUGAGAAUCGAGCUUAGUUACUACAAAUUUUGUUUUCUUCCAUUCAAUAUUUUGUUUGCCCUUCAUCUAGUUACAAUAACAGUAUUUGUAACACAUAAGAACAACUUCUAACCUAAAGUUUGAUUUCAGGGGGUCAUUAGGUCAAAACUUAUAUGCUGAGAGCUUGACUCUAACGUCCGCAACUUUUGCAGCAGCAAUGACUAACAUUAUUCCAGCCAUGGCAUUUGUCCUGGCAAUUGUCUUGAGGUAAUCCUCCUUUUCUUACCAAAAUUUUAAUCCUAUCAAAUUAACAUGGUUUCAAUAUAUGUUAAAGUUCCAGUUUAAUGAAAAAUAAAUCCUAAAUCCUAGCCAUCUUAUCUCAUAGGAUGGAAAGAUUAGCAAUUGGCACGGUUGCUGGAAAGUCUAAGGUGUUGGGCACUCUAUUAAGCAUAAGUGGUGCACUGGUUCUCACAUUUUACAAAGGAGUAGAGCUCAAUUUGUGGUCAACUAACAUCAACUUGCUGCAUCAUGGUGCAGCAACCUCACAGCAAUCAUCUAAUGAUCAAGUCUUGGGCUCAAUCUUACCUGUUGUNNNNNNNNNNNNNNNNNNNNNNNNNNNNNNNNNNNNNNNNNNNNNNNNNNNNNNNNNNNNNNNNNNNNNNNNNNNNNNNNNNNNNNNNNNNNNNNNNNNNUAAUCCAGGUGAUUUUGCUUAUUUAUUUAUUUAUUUUCUCUUCAGAUACAGAAAUUAAUUAAGUAUACACCUUUCACUAAUCUCAUAAUUGCUUUUGUGUUUUCCUAUUUCCUCUUUUAUAUGGACAGGCCAAGAUUAGUAUGGUGUAUCCAAGCUACUCUGGAACUGCUCUUACUUGUGUCUGUGCAGCGAUUCAGUCAGUUGUAUAUGCCAUGUGUGCUGAGAAGGAAUGGUCAGCAUGGAAACUUGGUUGGAACAUAAGACUUCUCACUGUUGUUUACACGGUAAGAUAUUUCUUGAAAAUUUGUGUAUAAUUCAAUGAAUUUGGGGAGUAUUUAAGAUUUGUUUAAUUGGAAUGAUUUUAUUAAUAAAAUGUCAUAAAUAUUAUUUUAACCAUAUUCUUAUUUUUUAUAAAGUAUAUAUUGCAUUAUUUCAAAAUUUUGCACAAAUUGAACAACACACAUCUUGAUUUUAUAAAUUAGGUUGACUUCUUCAAAAUUUUCUCCAAAAAGAAUGCUAUUGUAUGAAGUUCGACAUUCAAUAAAACAAGUCUUAGGUGGUGUUUUUUUUUUUUUUUUUUUUGCUGAAAGCAAUUUGUUUUUAGAAUUUAGGUUAUUUGUUUUUCUACUUUUUCAUGACUUAUUAUAAACUUUUUACUAAAUAGAAAAAGUCAAAAUAUGUCUUUUUUUUUAAAUAGAAAAAAUAACAUAUUGGUUUUUAUUUUUAUUUUUUAAUACUUAAUAUAAAUAAAAUACUAUAAAAACAAACAACCUAAUAUUUAACACUAUUAACCAUUAAAGUUUUAUUUAGACUUAAGUAAAAAAACAAACACCACCUUAGUUGGAAAGCAUAACUGCUAAUUAACAUAUGAAAGACAUUCAAUAUUAAAAAUCGUAUUCAGUUUCAAUCAAUAAAUGGUGUUGAGUUAUAACAAAGUUUUGCUGUGUUGCAGGGAGUGUGGGCCACUGGAUUGAUGGUUGCAAUAAUGAGCUGGGCUGCAAGGCUGAGGGGGCCAUUGUUUGUAUCUUCUUUCUAUCCCUUAAUGCUUGUAACUGUUGCAAUACUGGGGUCUCUCUUACUCGACGAGCAACUAUACUUGGGAAGGUUUGGAUCAAAACUACUCUUCUACUUCAACUUAAAAAGGUUUCAUUUAUUCUGAUAUUAAUUCAUUAUUCAUUUAUGGAACAGCAUAAUAGCAGUAGUGUUGAUCGUAGUGGGCUUGUAUGGUGUUUUGUGGGGAAAAGGCAAGGAGAUGAAGCAGACCGACCAAAUAGAUGGAGCAAAAAGCUCUACGGAGCCAGAAUUGAGAGGCAUUGUCAUAGAAACCUCAUCUAGUACUAAGGGUAAACCGACCGCAACAAGUACUAUUUGUCCCAUCCAAGCUGCUGACUAGGAAUGGCAAUGGGGCGGGUUCGGGACGGGUCGCCCCCAUCCCAACUCCGCCCCGUUUAUUUAAAAUAAAUCUCAUCCCCGUCCCAUUUAAAAACUUAAACGGGGCGGGGCGGGGCGGGGCGGGUACAAUAAAUUCCUAUACCCGCCCCGCCCGCCCCGUUUAACUUUUUUUUUUUUUGAAUUCACCAUUGAAACCGGCGAGACAGGGCUUACUGCCGCAGUGCCGCCGCGAUAAGGUCUCUGUGGGUAAAGCCAACCACCACCCCUCCUUCGUGUACUGCUGCAGCACCGCCAUAAUCAGAUCUCUGUGGGUAACGUUGCCGCCCCUCCUUCGCUUACUGUUGCAGAUUAUCCAAACAAUUCACACGCCCCAGAAAGACUCAGAAUCAAAAGCAACAUUAUACAAUUAACCAAACAAACUGCACUAAAGCCUAGUAGUUGUACAAACUGAAGUUAACCCCAUGUGUGUCAUUCAAAUUCAAAACAGAAAUCAGUUAAAUAUUUUCCCAAAUGCUCUGUUUGGUUUCCAAGAAAAUGUGGGAAAAUAAAAGAUGGCAAAAUCUUGGAAUCUGCAUUUUUCAUCAUUUGGGACCUAGAGACAACAAUGGGGCUUCCAUGUUACCUCUGUUUAGGUUAGUCCUUCAGUUUCCGCGAACCAAAACAUCAUAAAAACAGAAGCUUGACAAUUUUCUUUCAGAAAAUAAAGAAACGAAGAAAUUGGAAUCGCGACUCACAGAAAAGGCGUCGGAACUGAAAUUUCCAGAGGCGGACAGAAGGCGCUUAGCAGCCUGACGAGCAUUGGCUACUUCAGACAGGCAAGUCAAGGGAGACGCCGACGAAGUCGACACAUCCAAAGGCCUCAAACCAGCCCCGAAAUCUCUGAUCUCCUCGAACAAAUGCGUCAAAAGCGCGAUCCUACGGACAAAAUCCGUGCAAUCCCGCUUGAACACACCUCCAUGGGUAACGCCAGUCGUCGCCCCUCCUUCGCGUACUGUCGUAGUGCCGCUGCGAUCAGAUCUCCGUGGGUAACUCCAGCCGCCGCCCCUCCUUCGCGUACUGCCGUAGUGCCGCCGCGAUCAGAUCUCCGAUUGUUGAAUCUGACGACAUCACAACCUGGACUGGCCAGCUUCCCCUUCCGGUUCUUCUCUUCGUGUCCUCUCCGGUGAGUCUUGGAAGUGGAGAAGAAGCUCUUUGGUUUCCGGCGACAGGAAGCUGCCAUACCUAGAAUGGUGGAAGAGUUCAAGGGCAAAAAUGUGAUGGAGGAUCGGGGCGGGGUGGGGCAAUACCCGCCCCCGCCUCGAACCCGCUCCGGGUUUUUUAAACCAUUCCCAAACCCGCCCCAAACCCGUUUAAUAAAAUUUAACCCUGUCCCAUUAGGGGCGGGGCGGGGCGAGUACCCGAAAAAACCCGCCCCAUUGCCAUCCCUACUGCUGACCGAGGAUCUGGUGCGGUUUCUCCUGCUGCAGUGGUGCAUGAAUAGCAUCAAUAUAUCAUACUGAUAUCUUUUAUUUGGAAGAAAAUUUUGAAGAAAUUCUUGUAUGUAUAUACAAAAUUCAUUUCUACGCAACCAAAUAUCCUAAAAACAGUGUACCCGCCCCGUAUUUCCUUUGCCUAAAUUGUAAUAUUUUCCGAUAAUAAAUGAUUAAUGUUUCAUGCAAUUUUUAUUUAUGUCACAGUUUGCUAAGUUAUUUAUGGUGGUGUAGGAAGUCCUACAGCUGCUGCUAUGCAUGAGAAUAGCUCUAUCUUCUUACCCUAUCUUAUAUGUGUAUCGUUUUCUAUGAAAUUGGAAUUCCAAAUUAUAGAAAAUUGAUACCUACAUUGGCAUUAGAAUUACAAAUUAAUAUAAUCAUCAUAUAAACUAACGAUGCAUGUUUUGGUCAUAAAUCUGCGGUCUCCAUCUUACAUACAUAUUUUCAAACAUAUAUUGAUUGAUUAAGAGUCAGUGUGGGAAUGAUUGUUGGAAGUUAGAAGUGUUUGGCAAUAGUAAAAAUGAUUUUUCUUAGAAAGUUGGGAGGCAUGACAAAGUAUUGUAAAUGAAUUUUAAAAGUCUAGCUAAUCACUUCUAUAAGUUUUGAAAUAACAUUGGAUGCUGGUGUAUAAAAAUGACUUUUUACAGGUUAGUUUUACUAUGAAAAAUAGUAAAGAAAGUGAAAUAUAAUUAAAAUUAUUAAAAAUUUAUAUAUUUUUAAAUUAUUUAAUCUUUAUAUAGAACAAUUGAAUAAGUGAAAAAAGUUUGAAAUGAUGUAUAAAAAUAAUUUAUUAACUUAAAAUUUUUUUUUUCUCUUUACUUUUAUUUUUUCUCUUUGUUCCCUUUCUCUCGCAUUUUUCUUCAAACUUUUCGAUAAUAAAACAUAACCUCAAGGUUUGAAAAAUAUUUAAAAUUAUAUUUGUAAAUCAAGAAAAUCACUUCAAGUGAUUCUUGAAUUAGCACUUUGAUAUGUGCUACUUCAGCUAAAAAUCAUUUUUUAUUAUAUAAUAUAUUAUCCAAAAAUACUUAAUUAUAUAGGAAUACUAUCUUCUAUACACAUCCAACACCAAUUGAUUCUUCAUAAAAAUAUUUAAUAGAGGUGUUAUCAACAAAAGCAUUAUAAGUUUCUUCAUAAAAAUAUAGUAUUAAAAUAUUUACUAUGGAAGUGAUGCUGAUAAAAACAUUAUAAAUUAAAAACAUUUUUACCAAAAUCAUUCUGAAAUCAGCCUAAACCUACUCAUGCUUCCAAAUGAAACAUCUCAUGAGUUUUGUCCAUUUGCAUGUUGGCAUAUCCUCUCUCCAAACAACUUCACCAUCAAUUAAUUUUCAGUUAAUGAUAAGAAUUUUUUUUUUUUUUUUAAUUUCGAUUACAUCAUAUUAUGAACAUACUUUGUACAAUUGAAGUACAAUUUAUCACAUUUCUUACAAUCUAAUAAAUUUUUUAAAUAAUAAUAAUACUAAAAAAAAAUAAAACUAUUUUUCAUAUUCUAAAAUACACAAACUCUUCAUUUUAAUUUCCUCUACUAGGUGCAAGAUUACCUUAAUUUACAUAUUAGAUAGAAUGAUAGGACACACGAUGAAAGUGGUAAAAGUUAAUGCACAAAAGAAGGAUAAGACUCCACUUUAACCAAUAUUUCCAUAAAUAAAGAGUAAUUAAAUAUUAAUAAUAUUUUAUUAUCUUAAUUUAGAAAAUAAUAUUUAUUUUCCUUAAUUUUAAGAUAUUUUUUAUUUGUUUAUUUUUUAUAAUUUACAAUAUACUAUUGUAUACAUUUUUUAAAAGAAAUAAUAAAAUUCAAGUCUUUCAUUGCAAAAAUUAUCAAAUUUUUUAUUGUAUUAGAGGAAGAGACUUAAACUUGAUUCUUCUCCAAAAGUGAUGGAAUGUCAUAAAAGUAUUGGUCAAAAUACUUGAAUAGGUAGAAAUUUUCAAUUUGGAGGGAAAAAGUUUUACCCUUACUACGUAUUACAAUUCUCGACAAAAACUAAAAAAUAACAUUUCUAAGUAUUACAAUUCUUAACAAAAACUAAAAAAUAGAAAUAAUAAUAAUAAUUUAAUAUUUAUAUGAUGUCUUUGUUUGAUAUUUUUAUCAAUCCUUUGGUAUGCCUUCACCAAGUUUCAAGGUAAGAUGGACAUUCAUAUACAUUCUCACUCUAGAGAAUAUAUUUAAAAAAAUAAAAAUUUGAAAGAGCAUAUUAAGGAAAAGAAUAAACAAAGACAAAAAAUGACAUAUACAAUAGUAAAUCAAAAGCAACAUUUUCAUAAAUAAAAAGCAAGCAAAUAUUAAUAAUAUUUGAUUCUCUUAAUUUAAAAAAUAAUAUUUAUUUAUUUAUUUUAAGAUAUUUAUAAUUUCUUUUUUUCUAUAAUUCGCAAUACAUUCUUUUGAAAACAAAUUAUGAAAUUCAUCAAACUCUUCAAUUAGAAAACGGAAAAUGAAGAAAGAAAAUUCAAGGUUUUUAGUCAGUGAUGUCUACCCUCCCGCCCAUGGCUCCUCUAAGUAAAGCCAGAAGCGAAGAAAUUACCCCUUUGAGUUUUGUCCAUUUGCACGUGGGCAUAUGACUCUAGAAAACGUCCAAAAACUAUUUGACGGCUAAGGCCACAAUCACUUGAUACAUACUUUUUGAACGUCUUCCGUACUGUUAUAUUAAACAAUUUUCAUCUUCAAUAUCAAAUUGUACUGAACUUUCUUUGUCAGUAUGUGGGCCUAGUAAACAUGUCUUAAGUGGAUUAAAAAAUCAUCAAGGCAACCCAAGCACAGCCAAUUAGGGUUGGGUUUCGAGUUAAACUUGUAUACGUACGUCCCAAGCGCCCUUUUCAUCUUCAAUAUCAAACUGGUGACCAAGGACUACACUACGUCUGCACAGACGUCUGCGAAUAUUUUUGUGUGCCACAUCCCAAUUCUCAACAUCCCAACACCCCAAUAUUUUUACUCUAGUACAAUUAUACUCUCAAUGUUAUAUUUAUAGUUUUACUUUAAGUAAAUGUACUCAUUUAUUAUGUCAUUUAUGUAUUAUUUUUUCAUUUAUAUCUCCAUCUAUUUUAAUUUUAUAAUGUAAAUAAUGGAACACCUCAUAUUUAAAUACAACAAAAAAUAAUUUUCAAAAGCUAAUUCUAAGUAAAUCAAAAUCUUAUUUUUCAAAUUUAGUUAUAAAUUGAUAGUUUUUGCUAAAUUUUCUUCGAAAAAAAGUUUGCCUAACUAAAAUUAACAAAGAUAAAAAUCCUAAAAAAAAAUUAUUUCGAAUAUUACCAACAUGAAAAAUAACAAAAUUCGUCACUUUUUACCUUAAAUUUUGAAACAUUUAAAAAUAAACCUAUUUCUCAUACUUGGUAAAAUUUUUACACAACUAAGACAACAAAUAAGGUGAAUAUGAAAGUUUUCAAUCCAUUAUACUAUUUUAUCUAUUCUCUUAAACAAAAUAAAAUUUAAAAUUGGAAAUUUGUAAAAUAAAGUUUUAUGCUAUUGUUAUUAUUUGAAAAUAUAUAUUUGAUAAUAAUCAUAAAAAAUCUAGUAGUUACGUGUACAUUAGAACUAAAAUUCCUAGAAAUGAGAGUAAAUGCUUAGCAUAUGACAUAUUAUAAUUAAACCAUAGUUUUAGAAUUUGAGAGUAAAUAUUAAUUGAUUUUUUUUUCAUCUAGCUUUAGGUUAUUAGAUAGCUUCUAGCUAUAAGAGUAGAUAGGAAUAUAUAUAUACUCGUAGACCACCUAAGAAGGAAUAUUUAUUAUUUGAUUCUUAUCCUAACAUAAGAAGUCCAAUGGGAACAAUACUUGAAAUAGUGAUCCAUAAAAAAAACGCCGAUAUUGAGAUUGGAUAGAACGAGGUUAGAGCCAAAAGGAAUUAUCAAAUAACUUAAUAGAAUUUAUAUGACUACUAUGGAUGGUCCAAUACUUAAUAAACAAGUAUAUCCUCUAGAUGGAAGAAGAUUCUCUUUGAAAGGUAAUUUUGUGCCAUCUACUAGAGCUUGAAGAAUUCCCAAAGGAUCGGCAUGCUCUACGAAUGAAUGGAUUUGAUAAAAUUGGAAAAUGGAAAGAUUUGUAUAAGUUAUACGUUUCAUCACCACUUUGUGGAAAAUCGUUAAGUAUGAAUAUGUUAGAUACUUGUGACUCGAUUGGUGAAAUAGUUUUUGUCACACAAAAAAUAUUUUCUUGUGAAUGAACAAAAUAUUAAGAAAUUGUCCAUAUGUAAAAUCAGAAUUAUUGAUACAGGCCUUUUCCAUUCCUAGAAAUGAGAGUAAAUGUUUAACAUAUAACAUAUUAUAUUAUAAACAUUAUAUCAUUAUCCAUUAAUUUACAUUUCAAAUUCUAUAAUCUUAGACUGACCAUUUAAAAUUAUAAUUAAACUAUAGUUUUAGAAUUUAGAAUGUGACAAAUUCAAUAUUAAUUGAUUUAUUUUUUACUUAUGUAGCUUUGGUUAUUGGAUAGCUUCUAGCUAUAACAUAGUCAGGAAUAUAUAUAUAUAUAUAUAUAUAUAUAUAUAUAUAUAUAUAUAUAUAUAUAUAUAUAUAUAUAUAUAUAUAUAUAUAUUCAAUAUUCUGCUAUAAAAUUGUGCAAAAUGGUUAAAUUUCAAUUUUGUUAUACAUAACUUUUUAUUUAUACAAUAAAAUUAUAAUUUAUCUAUGUAUAUCUUUUGGCUAUAGACUUGUUGAUUGUCAAUUUUGUUCUAUAUAUAUUUCGCUAUAUAACAUAAUUAGAAUUUUUUUGUAUAGUUUGUAACUAUAGAAUUGUUGUUUGAUAAUAAAUUUGUUCUCUAUAACUUCUAAUUAUUAUAAAAAAAAAUUAUAAAUUUUUUUAUAGCUUUUGGUUACAAUAUUUUAAAUUGAUAAUUUUGUUUUGUAUGACUUCUGAUUACACAAAAUAAUAAAAAAUUGUCUACAUAGUUUCUAACUAUAAGAUAAUUGGUAACAAAAAAUUGUGUUCAUAACUUCUAGUUAUGAGUAAAGUAAAUAAACAUUUUAGUAAUAAAAUAAGAAUACCAUAAGAUAUUGUUUUUCAUAUAUCUUUUUCAAAUUAAAUUGUUUGAAGAAAGAAAGAGUGCAUACUUUUCUAGAUAUGAAUGAGUGUUACAAGUAGGCAAAACCUUUUAUGGAUGAAAUCUUCUGUUUUUUUGAACUAGAGUGUCGUGCUAGUAAUGUAUUGUACAAGUAAAAAAGAAAAAGAAAAUUAGAGUGAAUUAUUUAGAGAAAAAAUUCAAAGAAAUUGAACCUUGAAAUUAUCUAACCUUAGCCUUAUUUCAAAGGUUAUAAUUAUAAUGACUAAAGAAAUGCUUUUCUAAUAACUGGGAACAUUAAUUACAGGCAUAUUUGAAAGGUUUAUUAUGCGAAAUUGUGACAUUGAUAAAUAUCUUCACCUAUUUAUAACAAAAAUAUACUUUUUCCAAACAAUUUCCAGAUAUUCAAACUGUGGAGAAUGUUUGAAAUUUCUGUGGGAAUUUGAACCAUGCCCUUUUGGACAUUUGAACCAUUCUUGACCAUUCAAAUGCUGAACCUGGGAGCAUUUGAAUUUACUUCCUACUUCCCUUUCCCGCUUCAACGUUUUUUUCCAUUUUUCCAAAUCUUUUCAAUUUUAAAAAUCAUAUUUAUGUUUACUAACAAUUGGCCUAAUACAAAAAUAAAACAGUGGCCUAAUACAUUAUCAAAAAACACUUCCAGAAAUAUCUAUCUUUUGGUACAUAUAAAUACGUACAAUUGAUUCUUCAUGAAAAUAUUUAUGAUGGAAGUGUUAUCAAUAAAAGGGUCAUAUGCUUCUUCACAAAGAUGUAGUGUAAAAAUAUUUACUAUAAAAUUGGCAUGGAUAAAAACAUUACAAAUUCGAAACAUUUUUACUGAAAUCAUUUCAAAAUGGGCAUAAACCUACUUAUGCUCCCCUAAAUAAUUAAAUCCAUGAAAAAAAUGAAACAUCUCUUGAGUUUGGUCCAUUUGCUUGUUGGGAUAUUCUCUCAGCAAACAACUUCGUCACAAAUUAAUUUUCAAUUCAUGAUAAGAAAGAAUUAAGUUAUUUUUUUCUGAAGAUUUUUAGAUGACAUGAUUUAAUGAAUAUACUUAUAUAAUUGAAUAAUAUUAUUAUUAUUAUUAUAAAAACUAUUUUUCAUAUUUUAAAAUAUACACCCUCUUCAUUUUCAUUUCCACCCCCGGGUGCCUGAUUUCCCAAACUCACAUGCUAGAAAGAAGAAAAUCAAGGUUUUUAGUCAGUGAUGCCCGCCCUCCCACCCUUGUCUCCUCUAAGCAAAGCCGUAAGUGAAGAAACUACCCCAUGAGUUUCGUCAAUUUGCACGUGGGCAUAUGAGGCAAGAAAACAUCCAAAGGCCACGAUUACCUGAUAUAUACCUUUUGAACGUCUUCCUUACCAUUAUAUUAAACUAUUUUCAUCUUCAAUAUCAAAUUGUACUAGUCUUUCUUUAUGCAUGUAUGGGGCUAGUAAAUGUGUCUCAGGUGGAUUUUAAAAAUGAAGGCAACCCAAGCCCAGCCAAUUGGGGUUGGGUUUCGAGUAAAACUCGUACACAUACGUCGUACGUGUCCUUUUCAGAUUUUCCUCGCUGGUCACCCACCCACCGAGGAGCACAAUACGUCUGCACAUACGUGUGCAAAAAAACUCAUCAUCUAACCGUGGAUUCCUGUCGCUGUUGACUCCACCACUAUCUCUAUGCCUAUAAAAUACUCACUUGGUUUGAACCGAUGUCCACAGAGCAGAUCGUCAUUUGGUGUGAGCUUGAGAAAAUUAACACAGAGGCAGCUUUUGAGUUAAUUUGCAGAUUACAUGGCCACUGGAAAGUUGAGGAACCUUUUGGAAGGGCUGAAGCCAGCCAUGACAAUGGUGAUAGUUCAGAUAAUAUUUGGAGGGCUAAAUAUUAUGUACAAACUGGCUAGAAAUGAUGGCAUGAGCAUGAAGAUUUUGGUCGCCUACCGAAAUAUCUUUGCAACAGCUAUUAUGGUUCCACUUGCUCUAAUCUUUGAAGGGUGAUUCUUAUUAAUCUUGUCUAUUUUUUUUUUCCGCAUCUUUAAUUUUGUUUUAUCUUUCAUUCACUCUUUUCAAAUUUAUGGUGAACAUGUAAUUAAAGUGUAUUAUAAUUUUAACAGGAAGAGUAGGCCAAAACUGACAUGGAUGAUCUUCCUCCAGGGCUCAUUAUGUGGAUUAUUUGGGUAAGUCUAAUGAUUAAUUAGAAAAUAUCUUUUUAUGUAUAUAUAUACACAUUAAGAAAUAUCUUUAAUUCCUUCAAUGCUCUAUCUUGUUUGUAAAUGACUUUGCAGGGGUGCGGUUCUUAUAGAGUAAUUUUACUCCAUGUCUUCAUAUUUAUGAUAUGAAAUGUUUUCAAUAAUAUUUUAUCCUACACUUCUUAUACAUAAAAAUUUAUUAAAUAUUCUUAUAUUUUCUGACAUAAACUUUGAUUGCAGAGGGUCAUUAGGUCAAAAUUUAUAUGCCGAGAGCCUAAGCUUAACGUCAGCAACAUUUGUAGCGGCAAUGACAAACCUGGUUCCAGCUAUGACAUUUGUCAUGGCAGUUUUCUUAAGGUAUUUUUUAUUUAUUUAUUUCCUAACGAUAUUUUAGUACUAAAAUUUAUAGUAUUACACAUUUAAGUUUCUUAAGGAACAAAUGCUAAACCCUAGUCCUAUUUUCUUCUAGGAUGGAGAGAUUAGCAAUUGGAACAAUUGCGGGAAAAGCUAAGUUAAUGGGGACUAUAAUGAGCCUAGGUGGUGCAAUGAUUCUAACAUUUUACAAAGGAGUAGAGAUCAAGUUAUGGUCAACCAACAUCAACCUACUACAUCAUGGUGCUGCAGCAUUACAAGAGUCGUCUCCUAAUCAAGUGUUGGGCUCACUAUUGGCUGUGGCUAGUUGUGUCUGUAUUGCAGUUUGGUUGAUAGUCCAGGUGAUCAAGGUUCAGGUUUUCUUUUUUCUUCAAAUGAUAAAUCAAAUACCUUUACUGAAUGGGAAAUUGCUCUCGUAUUUUGGUUUUUCUUCUUUUAUUUGGACAGACUAAGAUGAGCAUGGUGUAUCCAAGCUACUCCGGAACUGCUCUAAUGUGUGUUUGUGCAUCAAUUCAAUCGGUUGUAUAUGCCAUGUGCACUGAGAGGGACUGGUCCGCAUGGAAACUUGGUUGGGACAUUAGGCUUCUCACUGUUGUUUACUCAGUAAGAUAUUUCUUGAAAAUUUUAUAUAAUUCAAUGAAAUAUGAGAAGAAUAAAGAUUUUCUAACAAAGUAUUGAUUGACAUUCAAUUUCUCUUCCAUUCAAACGAUAUUGAGAAAUCGUUUAUGAAUAUGUUAACUUAGUGGAUGAUUUUGAGUUAUAACAAGUAGAAUUUGUUGUAUUGCAGGGAGUGUUGGCCUCUGGAUUAAUGGUUACACUAAUGACCUGGGUUUCAAGGAUGAGAGGCCCAUUGUUUGUAUCUUCUUUCUUUCCCUUAAUGCUUGUAACCGUUGCAAUACUUGGGUCACUGUUACUCCACGAACAGCUACAUAUAGGAAGGUUUGAAUAUUCAAAUUAAAACCACCUCACCUUCAAAGAUUUCAUUUGUGCUCUGACAUUAAUUCUUGGUACCUAUUUUUAUAACAGCAUAAUUGCAGCAGUGUUGAUCAUAGUGGGCUUGUAUAUUGUUUUAUGGGGAAAAGGCAAGGAAAUGAAGCAGACCGCCCAAAUCCAUGCAGCACAAAGCUUUAGCGAACAAGAUCUGAGACAUAUUGUCAUAGAAAAUUCAAGUAACAGUGAGUGUAAACCAGAAGCAAGUGGUAUUAUUGGUCCCAUUGAACCUGCUGACCUAGGAUCUGGAGUGCCAUCUGCAGCUGCAGUGGUGAACAAAUAAUGUCAUAGUGAUAUCUUCCAUAUAAAAUUGGAAGAGAUAGCAGUAAACUAGAAAAGGAAAUUGAUUUGUGUUAUUAAUGUUGUUCAAUGUAUAUUAGAAAUUCAUUUCAGUUAACUAAAAUCUUUUACAAACAAUGUUCCUCUAUUUUUUUUCUCUAAAUUCUGACAAUUGCUGGCAGCAAAUGAGUACUAUUACUGCAAUGUUCUUCACCUACUUUGCUAAUUCACUCUAGUUGGUGAAUGAAUUUUGCUGAUGGAAGGACAACUUCUCCAUCUGCAAAUAUUGAAAUCCAUUUACAGUGUCCUCAAUGAAUAAAACGUAAAAAAGAUGUGUGAAAAUAAAGCUAAGAAUAGUGGGAUCAUGAAACAACUCUAAUAGACCUUACAUGCAUGUAGUCUGGAUGGUGAGAAUGACGAAGGAACCUUGUAAGACUUAGGUGAUACUAAGAGUUCAUUUGGCACUAAUUUUAGAAAACAUUUUUAACUUUUUGAACACAAUGAUAAAAAUUUAUGAAUGUUGGAAAGAUUUCCUAAAAUCACCGGCUCUAAACCAUUCACAUUUGGUAUCUCUGUUUCUGACAAGGGAAGCGCAUAUAAUGCGGCAGAUCUUCGGGAUCACAGUAUGCGGAAAAUAUCUAAAGGUUUUGAUGUGGCAACCUUUGACGUUGAUUUUGGGCAAUAUCACAAGGUCUCUCUACCACCAGAUUCAUCCCGUAUAGAGGGUGUGAUCAAAUAUAGGAAAGGAAGAAGCACAGAAUUAACACCUACCAUCCACUAAGCCAAGCCAUGACUAAUGAAACUCCCCAAUCAUUAAUCUAGUUCCUCCAUGAGGCCAACCACUGUGUGACAAUUGUAUGUGAGAUCUUAAGGCCAAUUUUGACCUAAUGGACUAGGUUGCCGUAGUGGGAUUGACAACUACUCAAGCGCAUCGAAACUAAGGUUGCCCUUGGGGGGAAACUUUCCUUUUCAGACCUCAACACGUCUGAAUUAAUGUUUGUAAGCAUUCGCAACUUCAAUGGAUGCCUCUUUCGUACUGUACUCAACAUCUGCUUGGGCUACUCUUAGGAAUCUUUGAGUUGCACCGGAAGUUUUAAUACUAUACAUUAAUACAAUAAUCCAAAGAUGAAAUCAUUUACUCAUAACCAUAUGUUUGUACCAACGGAUGAAGCCUUGAUCACUUAUUGUGUAAGUAAAAGUUUUAAUCCUAACAUACUCGAAAAAGAAAACAAAGAUAAAAUAAUCCUCGUACAUAGAUAUACAAGGUUUUAAUGUGAUUCAAUAUCAUGCCCAAAUUUGUUGAUAAGAGAAAAUCAUUCCAAUAUUCCAUAAAGAAUAUUACAUAGAUGGAAGAACACAUACAAUUAAGUCUGAAAUAUCCUAAUGUUUCNNNNNNNNNNNNNNNNNNNNNNNNNNNNNNNNNNNNNNNNNNNNNNNNNNNNNNNNNNNNNNNNNNNNNNNNNNNNNNNNNNNNNNNNNNNNNNNNNNNNAAGUGAUCUAUCAUUAGUGUUCUUUCCUUUAGCUUCAUAUUCGUCAACUUCUUUAAUAAGAAAAUUUUAUUCCCAACGGUUUUUUGUUCAAACACUAAUUCCAAUUUCUUCCAGAGAUUAUAGGCAUUUGUUUCAUUUGCCACAUGAUGAUGUGAGGAUGUGUCAAUCCAUUGCCUAAUAUAGGCAAUUGCCUUUUUGUUCAUCUUAUUCCAUUCCAAAUCACAAAUAUCUUUAGGUCUGGCUUCUUCACCCUUAAGAUUAUUUGAAAAAUCUUUAAUGGUGAAAAAAUCUUCCUUCAUGGACUUCCAUAUAGCCCAAUUUGAAUUAUUAAGUUUUAUCAUGGAGGUUGAGUUCCCUUCUAUCUCCAUUCCUUUCGCAACUAGACUUUGAUACCACUUGUUGGGAAGAUAAAGGGAGAGAUUUAGAGUAUUAACCUGCCAAGGUUAAAAGAUUCCUCCACAAUAAUAACCACCUCUCAAGAAUAAUAACCCAACAAAAAUCAAGAAUGACAAUCAAGAACAUUCAACCACAAAAGAGGACAUCAAAUAUAACGUGGAAAACCCCUUUGGAUAGAGGUAAAAAAACCAUAGAGAAAAUUUCUCCCACUUCAAUAAAUGGGGAUACAAUAAUUAAGUUCUGACUUGAGGCGGGAAUCCAUCACCCUAGGAAACAUGAACAGAAAAAAAAUCAGGGAGAAAAUAUACCACAAGAAUUCCCCAAAAGUUUGAUGAAAGGAACCUGUAACUUCACCCUUGAGCCCUAGAACAAUGACUAGAAAAACAACCUUGAUCUUCUUUCAUUUUCUCAAUCAAAUGCCCUUCUCUCUCAUAAUACCAAAACCCUAAUGCUAUUUAUAUAUCCAUAUUUGGGCUUAGGGAAUACCCAAAUAUAAAAUAGCCUAAUAUAUGGGCUCAUGGCUGGACAAACAUAAUCCAACAGAUUAUAGUGGGCUUGUAUAUCGUUUCAUGGGGAAAAGGCAAGGAGAUGAAAAACACCGCCCAAGUCCAUGGAGCAAAAAGCUUUAGCGAACAAGAAUUGAGACAUAUUGUCAUAGAAAAUUCAUUUAACAGUGAGUGUAAACCAGCAGCAAGUGGUAUUAUUGUUCCCAUUGAAUCUGCUGACCUAGGAUCUGGUGUGGCAUCUGCAGCUGCAGUGGUGCCUGAAUAAUGUCGCAGUCGUAGCUUCUAUACAAAAUUGGCAGAGAAAAGGAAAUUGAUUGUGUUGUUGAUGUUGUUCAAUGUAUACUAGAAAUUCAUUUCUGUUCAUUAAAAUCUUUUACAAACAACGUUCCUCUAUUUUUUUCUCUAAAUUCUGACAUUUACUGGUAGCAAAUGAGUAAUAUUAAUGCAACUAUCGCUAUUCAUUAACAGUGUCUUCAAUGAAUAAAACGUAAAAAGAUGUGUGAAAAUAAAUUAAGCUAAGAAUAGCGGGAUCAUCAAACAAUUCUAAUAGACAACAUGGUCGAGUCAACAAUAAUGAUGGGUACACACCUAACAGUUCCUUGGUAUAAUGGCGGAGAGUGUGUUUAAAGGGUGGAAUAUGCUUAUCUUCAAAAGCUAGUUGGUUAUUUUCGGCCACCGAUUUUCUUAAAAGCUUAAACUUUUCGGAUUUUGGCGUACAAUGUAUUUAUAUUAUGCUUCUCCACCAUUCCCCUCUUUCUAUGAUUUUAAGUUUUUAAGAAAAUUGAAACUCAACAUGGUAUCGGUGCUCUAAUUAAUUAGAUAUAUCAUAUUGAAGUUAUUAUCUCAAUCUAUUUAUUUGUCCAAUUAUUUGUGAUUAUAAAUGUACAAUUUUUAUGUAGCUUUUUUAAUGCUCAUAUCUAAUUAUCUAUAAUUAAACAUGUGAUUUGUAUAGUGAGUAAUUAUCUUUAAUCACAUCUGUACAAUGGAUAUAGAGUCGCACAUGAAAGAAGGUGAAUAUGCCUAAUUAUUUGUGAUCACAAAUGUGUGAUUUAGGUGGUGUUUAUUUUUUAAAACUUUUUUUUUAAAAGCAAUUUACUUUUAGAUUUUAUAUUGUUUAUUCUCUUACUUUUUGUUGACUUAAUACUUAUUUCAGAUUUUUUUUAUUGAAUAGAAAAAGAUAAAAUAUUUAACUUUUUCUAAAUAUUAAGAAAAAUAUGUUGAUUUUUUUCACCGUUUCAUAUUUAAUAGAAAUAAAAUAUUAAAAAAAAUAAAUAACUUAAUUAUUAACAUUAUUAAAUAUUAUUUAGUUUUAAAUUCUAUUUAAGAAUUGAGUGAAAAAAAGCAAAGCAACACCUUACUACUGUUAGCCGCCAGUGCACAGCUAUUACUAUCUAGGCCACAUGUAAUAGUUGUUGAGAGUUCCAACAAGAAGAAUAUCUUGUAGUGAUUUACCUCUCUUAAAAGGGAAUAUCUUUGUAGUAGAGAAAAGUACUCAAGAAAAUUCAAACAGAUUUAUGACAACCUUGUAGCCAUCGACAAGCCAACAUUCGAGCUUGAUAAAGUAAGUCAAUUUGCUAGAGCACUGGAGGCAAAGUAUCAAGAAUUCCAAUGGACGUUUCAACCCGAUGGACAGUCUUAAUAUUGCAAGCAAGUUCAACAUGCUUGAUACUCCUAAAAAUUCAAUUCGAAUGACCUGUAGUAAUGGUCUGAAACCCAUCUAGAAAACAAUCUUCAUCCACAUUCUCAAUGACACUUUUCUGACUGAGCAAAGCAAUAAGUGAUGGAACUUCCUCGUGUGUUCUGUCCAUUAGCAUAUGGGUAUAUUAUGCCAGUAAAUUUCGAAAGGGAACUAGAAAAAUUAAGACCACAUUCACACUGCCGACUUUUUUAAAGUGUUCCUUAGUUUUUUAUUCUUCAAAUAAUUGAUGUUUUAAAAAAUUAUAUUCAUGCUCAAUAUCAAAUUGGCCUGCUCUUUCUUUGCGCAUGUUAGAAAGCACAAAACUAACACCUACCAUCCACUAAGCCAAGCCAUGGCCAAUGAAACUCCCCAGUCAUUAAUCCAGUUCCUCCACUAGUAUGCAUGAGGCCAACCAACCUGUAACAAAUGUGUUUGACAAAUUAAUGCCAAUUUUGACCUAAUGGACUAAGUUCCCGUAAUGGGAUUGACAACUACUCCAGACCAUCGAAACUAAGGUGGCCCUUGGGAGGAAACUUUCCUUUUCAGACCUCAUGCAAGAACGUUUGUAGGCAUGCUCAACUUCAAUGGAUUCCUCUUUCGUACUAUACUCAACGUCUGCUUAGGCUACUCUUAGAAAUCUUUGAGUUGCACCGAAGUUUUUAUACCAUAUAUUAAUACAAUAAUUUAAAGAUGAAAUCAUUUACUCAUAACGGAUGAAGCCUUGAUAACUUAUUGUGUAGGCAAAAGUUUUAAUACUAACACAUUAGAAAAGGAAAACGCAAAUAAAAUAAUCUAUAUACAAAGAUAUAUGAGGUUUUAGCAUGAUUCAAUAUCAUACCUAAAUUUGUUAGAGAAUAUUUUAUAAGACAAAAAAACACAUAAUUAUUAAGCCUUCAAACAUCCAAUGUUUUUACACUAUUGUGUCUAUAUCAUGAAUCACGAGCUAUAAUAGAAUUUGUUGUGUAGGCAAAAUCUUUUAAUACUAACAUUGUAUAAAAAGAACACAAAGAUAAAACAAUCUACACAAAGAUAAUUGAGAUUUUAAUGUGAUUUAAGCAACCAUGCUUACACCCAUAAGUGAUAGAAAAUCAUUCUAUUAUAUCAUAGAAAAUAUUAUAGAAGACAAAAGAAUAAAACCUUGAAACAUACCAUGUCUCCCAUUCAUCUUUACCUCAUUACUGUUUUCUCAUCAUGAAUUAUAAUAUUUAUAGAGAUAUUUCUAAUGUACUAAUUCUACAUAAAAAAAAAUCAAAUAAUACAAUGAUAUAUCAAUAUAGGAAAUAUUCUAUAUAAUAUUUGCAACAAAAAGGGAUAUAUACCAUAUAGAACCACAAAUGAAAGAACAUCAAUUCUCUACAUUAUAAAGAAAUUAUAGAGAAAUGAUAAAAUAGACACAAGUUAUAGAUCUUGAAACAAUUUCAUGUUUUCUUACCCCCAAUAUCUACACCUUGAAUGACAAGCCCUCACUCUAUUAGGUGUUUUCACUCUUCUUUACAUCUUGACCCACUCGGUAUAUGCUUUAUAGGUCUUAUCCUGAUCUUGUAAUUAACUUUUUGUCUCCAUGACUUAAAGUACUUAUAGAUAUAUUCCUAAUCUCUUUCUUAUUAUACAAAGAUAUCUAGUAUAACAAAGAAAUAUUAAGUCAAUCUUCUAUCUCUUCAUGACAAACACCUCAAUUGUACACAAGUUAGAAUUUUAAAGCAACUAGACUAAGAUUUAUAUGGUGUUGGAAAUAGAGAUAAGCUUAAAACAUAAAAGUAUAGCACAACAUAUAUUUCAUACUUCAAGUGCUUAACAACCAAGUAAGAAGGUAAAUGGAUAAUCCUUACUUCCUCAAUCUGUGAAUUCUUUUAUAUCAUUGCAUUUAAUCCUAUAAUAUACCUUUGUGAUAUUCGCCACAUCAUGAAAGACAAGUUUUAUGUAUUGAUGAUUGUCCAUAAUUGUUUGUUGUUCAAAAUAAUAAGUUUAAAUUCAAAGCAACUCUAGCCGACAAAAACUAAAAAAAGUAUCACUACCACUUGUAUGGUACUCUAGGUAUUAUCCUUAAGGACUAAAUUAUGGAUGAUAAUGAUGUUAGGUCAAGGAGAUUUACUAUUACCUAAAUUGUAAAGUAAAAAAAUUGAGAAUUGAUUUACUUAAAUUAAGGGCAGUUGGAAUAAUCCUAAUUACUAAUAAAAUUGAAUGUUAAUUUCUAACUCAAUUGAUCAAAUUUGGAGGCUCCGUAAUCCAAUUUUAGGAGUAGAGCUUUGAAGAGAACAAAAGUUUGUUAUCUUCAAUGAUCUUAAGGUUAUUAGGAUACUUGGUCACUCAAGAUCAACUUAACUUCUAUAACUUAUAGUUAUAACUUAAACCUAAUUCUUUGGCUUAGGAUGAAUACAUGUCCCAUGUCUCACAUUAGUUUAUUACCAACAUUGGUUGGGCCUUAUAUGUAGCCUCUACUCCCCACAAGCUUAAGCUUUUAAGAGCGUAUGUUGUAUCGCAUCAUUUUGUAUCAUGGUGAGGUUUGGCCUGGCUCACCUUGUGCUCGUUAACAUGGGCGUUAACAUUGAGUAGGGGGGUGUUUGAAGUACAUAGGAGGGACAAACAAUGACCCAAAUCAGCUGAUUACCAACAUUGGUUGGGCUUUAUACAUGGGGUUACCUUUUCUUUCCAUUAUCUUAGGUUUUUGGGAGUGUAAAUGUCUUGCAUCAUUUUCCUUUUCAAUUCAUAUUUCUAAUUCCCAUAUGAUGAAUGAUAUCUACUUCAGGUUCAAGUCACAACUUUUUAUCACUUACUACUUAUAGAUUUGUAUUAAGGUGGAUAGCUAUAAAGAUAAUCAUGAUAACAAAGGAUCAAGGGUAGCUAAGAGUCUCUAGUAUCUUGUAGUACUUUAGGCAUCAUCUUUAAAAACUAAAAUAUGGAUAACAAUGAUGUUAGGUCAAGGAGAUUUACUAUUACCUAAAUUGUAAAGUAAAAAUGUUGAGAAUUAAUUUAAGUAAAUUAAAAGUAGUUAGAAUAAACCUAAUUACUAAUAAAAUUAAAUAUUGAUUUCUAACUCAGUUGAUUCAAAGUUGGGGGCUCCAUAAUCCAAUUUUACAAGUAGAUAUUUACAGUGAACAAAAGUUUCUUAUUUUCAAUGAUCUUAAGGUUAUUAAAAUACUUGGUGGCUAGAGAUGAAAUUGAGUUCUAUAACUCAUAAUUACAUCUUUUUCUUUCUUUUUCUAACAAGAUUAGUUGUAUUAAGAAUUAUUCUCCUGUUUUAUGCAUGUUUCCAAAAGCAACUUAGGGCUUAGACUGCAUGCAGAUGGCCCUCCAAGUAGCCUAGCUGUUCAUCCUGAUCAUUAAGAUGUCUUGAGGACAUUUUCGAAAAUGAGGCAAGCUUGAAAUUAGAAAAGGGCAGUUCAAGCUCCAUAUGACAAUAUAAAUUACUACUCUAGCAACAUUUUGGAACAAUUCCUUUCUCUGUUCUCUCUUAAGACUUUAUUGCAUGUGUGAUCAUCUUAAUUAGGAAAAUCCAGUUCUCAUUUCAUUGCAUUAAAUGUUCCGAUGCAAUUGAUAAUGUUGAGUCUUAUAUAAUUAAAAUAAAAUUGUUUUAAAUGGAAUCAUGGGCUGUAGCGUGAGUCGUAAUUAUGAAAAUACCAUCUCUGUCUGAUGGCAUUGGGACAAGGUCUCAUGCAUCAAGCUUUAAAAUUUGAAAAUAAACAAGGUAACAUUUUGUAUAUAUAGAAAAUGAUACUCUCCUCAAAUAAGGUAACAUUUGAUUAAUCAAACAAGAAAAUGGUAUAGGAUAUCAAUAAUAUUUGUUUCACUCGAAAAGGACAACCAGAUAUCGUUCACUCUUUUAUUUUAUAUCCAUUAUUCCCCAAAUCUGAAAAUCUUUGCAGAAUCUCAAAGUCAAAUGUUUGACCACUCAAAUAAGUUAUAUAUAUAUAUCUUUGAUCAAAUUUUUUCCUAAAUUCUACUUUAUUUUAGCACUCCCAAGAUUUCAUGCAAUUCAUUCUAGUCUUCAAUGGUAGCUCAGUUUAUAAGUCAUUAGCUUUCAAGGGACUUCCAAGCUAAAAGUAGUGUUUUUCCUUGGUUUAUAAACCUGUACAACUGGGGUAUUAUGAAAACAAUAAUAUUUUAAAUAUCACUGUUACGAUAUCAAAUGUAUAUAUAUAAAUUAUUUUUAAAUUUUUUGAAAAAACAACAAAAGUCAUGGUUCAAAAUCAUGUUCAUUUACAUUAGAGGAAAAUGCGAAGAUAUUGAAGUGAUAUCGAAAUCUAAAUCGGGAACUUUGAAUAUAAAUGAGCACAUAAAUAAAUAAGAUUAAGUUAUACAGGCGUAAAUAGAUUUGAUGUAUAAAUAAUAAGUAUACUUGGUUGUCCUAAAGCACAGAGAUAAAAUUGUAUGCCAUAUUAGACAUGGCCUCCUCCCACCAUCGUUGAAAUUAGUGAAUUCACCAUGACCAAAGCAACAUGCCCAUGACUUUUCUGCACUUGCGUGUAUGAGGUUCCCGUAAUCGAAUUGGCAAUCCAAGACCAUACAUGGUGGUUGCAGACAUGAUUUGGGCUUGGACUUAGUGGAAACUUUUCGCCAGCCAAGCUGCCUUUUUAAGAGUUUGUCCUUUUAAGAGUUUUGCCUACGAUAGACCGCAAUACGCCUGCAAGGAAGUCAGCAAAAGGACCCCCACACAUCACUUUGGAAAGCAUGAUCUAAGUGUGGAUUCUGGAUUGCUCUAUCUGACAUGAUUCCAACAGCCGGCAGCUCCACUAUUAUGAGGGCGCCUCUCUCAGAAAUCCCUUUUUGUCUAUAAAUACUCAUAUGGUUUGAACCAGAGAGUAUCCAAACAGCCUCCCCAACAGCUUCAUUUGCUUCAUAUAUAGUCAUUGGCUUGAGCAAUAAACAGCUUUUCAGUUGGUAUAUUACAUGGCUAGUGGGAAGUUUUGGAAUGUCAUGACAGGGCUGAAGCCAGUCCUGGCAAUGGUGGUGGUUCAAGUGUCACUGGGAGGAAUUAAUAUUAUGUACAAGUUGGCUAAGAGUGACGGCAUGAGCAUGAAGGUUUUAAUCGCCUGCAGAUAUAUAUUCGCUGCAGCUUUUACGGUUCCACUUGCUUUGAUAUUUGAUCGGUAACUUUCAUUAUUUCUUAGUUUUGUUUUGUAGCUUGUGUUUAUUUAAUUUCAGUGUUUCUUCUCUCUCCCUUCUCUUUCUUGCUUUCUCUCUUUCCUUUUUGUAUGGGUGAGCUUGUCCCUUGUGUGGCCUGUAUCACAACUGGGCUAAAGAAAAAUUAUUAUAUCUGUUAUCCUAAAUUUCAUUUUUAAAAAUGGGAGUAUAUGGUGAUGCUUUCUUUACUGACAUUUCUUACAAAUAAGAAAUAAAUUAUCAUGGUUUUAUCUCCGUUUCUCUUUCUCAAUUGCACAGAGAGCAUUUACUAAUAUUUGCCUCAUGUAUGGUAAACAGGAAGAGUAGGCAAAAAAUGACAUGGAUGAUCUUCUUGCAAGGUUCCUUAUGUGGUUUAUUUGGGUAAGUUUCAAAAAAUAUUUUAUUCUUGUAUUUUAUAUCAAAGGUGUUCAAUUUUGGCCAAAAAUGGUUUAGAUAGGUGAGUUUUCCUGUAAUGAAUCUAUACUUUCUCAAUGAACUCUUUCGUACACAUGAUGAAUAGUAUUCUCAAUUUUGCCAAAGCUUAGAUAGGCCGGGUGAUGCCAUGGUAGUUGUCAUAUAAACAGUUGAAAGGAUCUAUGACUAAAAGAUGUCAUUUUCUGCAAGACAUACACUGUUGAGAAUCUAGCUUAGUUACUACAAAUUUUAUUUUCUUCCAUUCAGUAUUUUGUUUGCCCUUCAUCUAGUUACAAUAACAGUAUUUGUAACACAUAAGAACAACUUCUAACCUAAAGUUUGAUUUCAGGGGGUCAUUAGGUCAAAACUUAUAUGCUCAGAGCUUGACUCUAACGUCCGCAACUUUUGCAGCAGCAAUGACUAACAUUAUUCCAGCCAUGGCAUUUGUCCUGGCAAUUGUCUUGAGGUAAUCCUCCUUUUCUUACCAAAAUUUUAAUCCUAUCAAAUUAACAUGGUUUCAAUGUAUGUUAAAGUUCCAGUUUAAUGAAAAAUAAAUCCUAAAUCCUAGCCAUCUUAUCUCAUAGGAUGGAAAGAUUAGCAAUUGGCACGGUUGCUGGAAAGGCUAAGGUGUUGGGCACUCUAUUAAGCAUAAGUGGUGCAUUGGUUCUCACAUUUUACAAAGGAGUAGAGCUCAAUUUGUGGUCAACUAACAUCAACUUGCUGCAUCAUGGUGCAGCAACCUCACAGCAAUCAUCUAAUGAUCAAGUCUUGGGCUCAAUCUUAGCUGUUGUUGCUUGUAUGUGCUUUGCAGUUUGGUUGAUAAUCCAGGUGAUUUUGCUUAUUUAUUUAUUUAUUUUCUCUUCAGAUACAGAAAUUAAUUAAGUAUACACCUUUCACUAAUCUCAUAAUUGCUUUUGUGUUUUCCUAUUUCCUCUUUUAUAUGGACAGGCCAAGAUUAGUAUGGUGUAUCCAAGCUACUCUGGAACUGCUCUUACUUGUGUCUCUGCAGCGAUUCAGUCAGUUGUAUAUGCCAUGUGUGCUGAGAAGAAAUGGUCAGCAUGGAAACUUGGUUGGGACAUAAGACUUCUCACUGUUGUUUACACGGUAAGAUAUUUCUUGAAAUUUGUGUAUAAUUCAUUGAAUUUGGGGAAUAUUUAAGAUUUGUUUGGAAUGGUUUUAUUAAUAAAAUGUCAUAAAUAUUAUUUUAACCAUAUUCUUAUUUUUUAUAAAGUAUAUAUUGCAUUAUUUCAAAAUUGUGCACAAAUUGAACAACACACAUCUUGAUUUUAUAAAUUAGGUUGACUUUUUCAAAAUUUUCUCCAAAAAGGAUGCUACCAUAUGAAGUUCGACAUCCAAUCAAACAAGUCUUAGUUGGAAAGCAUAACUGCUAAUUAACAUAUGAAAGACAUUCAAUAUUAAAAAUCGUAUUCAGUUUCAAUCAAUAAAUGGUGUUGAGUUAUAACAAAGUUUUGCUGUGUUGCAGGGAGUGUGGGCCACUGGAUUGAUGGUUGCAAUAAUGAGCUGGGCUGCAAGGCUGAGGGGGCCAUUGUUUGUAUCUUCUUUCUAUCCCUUAAUACUUGUAACUGUUGCAAUACUGGGGUCUCUCUUACUCGACGAGCAGCUAUACUUGGGAAGGUUUGAACUACUCUUCUACUUCAACUUAAAAAGUUUCAUUUAUUCUCAUAUUAAUUCAUUAUUCAUUUAUGGAACAGCAUAAUAGCAGUAGUGUUGAUCCUAGUGGGCUUGUAUGGUGUUUUGUGGGGAAAAGGCAAGGAGAUGAAGCAGAGCGCCCAAGUAGAUGGAGCAAAAAGCUCUACGGAGCCAGAAUUGAGAGGCAUUGUCAUAGAAACCUCGUCUAGUACUGAGGGUAAACCGACCGCAACUAGUACUAUUUGUCCCAUCCAAGCUGCUGACCGAGGAUCUGGAGCGGUUUCUCCUGCUGCAGUGGUGCAUGAAUAGCAACAAUAUAUCAUACUGAUAUCUUUUAUUUGGAAGAA